UACGAAGGGGGCUAGCGCUGUUCGGAUUUACUGGGCGUAAAGCGCACGUAGGCGGAUCGUUAAGUCGGGGGUGAAAUCCUGGAGCUCAACUCCAGAACUGCCUUCGAUACUGGCGAUCUUGAGUCCGGAAGAGGUGAGUGGAACUCCUAGUGUAGAGGUGGAAUUCGUAGAUAUUAGGAAGAACACCAGUGGCGAAGGCGGCUCACUGGUCCGGUACUGACGCUGAGGUGCGAAAGCGUGGGGAGCAAACAGG
rnacentral:rRNA from 1 species